GGAUGUGAGGGUGAUCUGGCUGCGACAUCUGUCACCCCAUUGUUCUCCAGGGUUAAUUUGGCUGAUCUGGCCGGCUAGGCAGGUGUCCCCUUCCUCUCUCACUGCUCCAUGUGCAUCCCUCCCAAAGCUGCGAGCUAGGUUGAAGAGGACGGCCUUCCCCAAUUAUAGACAGACCAGUCUUCAAGGGUAUAGGAGUAGCUGCGCUCCCCUGCUAGAACCUCCAAACAAGCUCUCUAUAGUGGAGGAUAGUUCCCUGAAUUCAGGUUUAUCUUAAGAUGGCAUACUAUUCUGUGUGAAUAUUCAGUAUAAGGAUGUGCACAUUUUUU
ensembl:misc_RNA 7SK 7SK RNA